rnacentral:snRNA from 1 species
GUGCUCACUUCGGCAGCACAUACACUAAAACUGGAAUGAUACAGAGAUUAGCAUGGCCUCUGCACAAGGAUGACACAAAAUUCAUGAAGCGUUCCAUAUUUUU